GACAGAGGCCCCGAGCGUUAGUCGGAAUUACUGGGCUUAAAGGGUGCGUAGGCGGGCGCGUAAGUGUUCUGUGAAAUCCCCGGGCUCAACCCGGGAACCGCAGGGCAUACUGCGCGUCUCGAGGAAGCUAGAGGCCGGUGGAACGAUCGGUGGAGCGGUGGAAUGCGUAGAGAUCGAUCGGAACGCCAAGGGUGAAGACAACCGGCUGGGGCUUUCCUGACGCUGAGGCACGAAAGCGCGGGGAUCAAACAGG
rnacentral:rRNA from 1 species